GAUGAACGCUGGCGGCGUGCCUAAUACAUGCAAGUCGAGCGAACAGACGAGGAGCUUGCUCCUCUGACGUUAGCGGCGGACGGGUGAGUAACACGUGGAUAACCUACCUAUAAGACUGGGAUAACUUCGGGAAACCGGAGCUAAUACCGGAUAAUAUAUUGAACCGCAUGGUUCAAUAGUGAAAGACGGUUUUGCUGUCACUUAUAGAUGGAUCCGCGCCGCAUUAGCUAGUUGGUAAGGUAACGGCUUACCAAGGCAACGAUGCGUAGCCGACCUGAGAGGGUGAUCGGCCACACUGGAACUGAGACACGGUCCAGACUCCUACGGGAGGCAGCAGUAGGGAAUCUUCAGCAAUGGGCGAAAGCCUGACGGAGCAACGCCGCGUGAGUGAUGAAGGUCUUCGGAUCGUAAAACUCUGUUAUUAGGGAAGAACAAAUGUGUAAGUAACUAUGCACGUAUUGACGGUACCUAAUCAGAAAGCCACGGCUAACUACGUG
rnacentral:rRNA from 1 species